rnacentral:lncRNA from 1 species
AACCUGGUGGUUGCGUGGCCGUACCGACCACCUGUACAUCACACAAAUUGUAGCAACAAAGAGCAACAGCUUUCAUUCACAAAUAUCUCCCUAGGCUUAAAAGCACGUUUACAGAACACGCAUGACUGGCCAUGAACUUGGUGGCUGUGUGGCCGUGCCGACCGCCUGUACAUCACACAAAUUCUAGCAACAAAGAGCAGUAGCUUUCAUUCACAAAUAUCUCCCUAGGCUUAAAAGCACGUUUACAGAACACGCAUGACUCGCCAGUGAACCUGGUGGCGGCGUGGCCGUACCGACCACCUGUACAUCACACAAAUUGUA